rnacentral:lncRNA from 1 species
AGAUCAAAAGACCAUAUGAAUGUUUACAUUAUCCAAUUUCGGUCUUUCAUGGUAAUAUAAUAUAUACAUAUAGAUACGACAAAACCAUUCUCAUAAACUUUACCCGAAUCGUUUUAACAAUUCCCGAAGCUAGUUUACUUUAUGAGAUUGUCACGAGGAAGUUAGAAACGGAGUUUUUUCUUCUCUUUUUUUUUCCAACUUAUCCAUCAUCAUGUUCCCUAGUAUCAUCGUAAAUGCUCUUAUCUUUAUAUUAAAGAGAAAAAAAGAAAGAGAGAGAGAGAGAAAGAGAAAGAAAAAGAGAGAUAAGGUAGAAGAGAUGAUUAAUCGCGAAGAUUGGUUGUUAAUUUACAGCAGGUUUGUAGCAUGACCUUUAUCACGGUUCUACGCAAUAAUCCUUCGGGGUAUUAAUGCACUUGAGCCUUGAGACAGAAGACAAACCACGUUUCGUAUCUGAAUUCUAGAAUUAUUUUAACGGAACGAGAUUUCUCUCUCUCUCUCUCUCUCUCGAUCGUAUAUAGUGAGCAAGUGAGCGAGUGAAUCGUAGAGCGUUGACAGAAGCAGGGAUUUAGACACUCGAGCCUCUCUCCUCGUGUCUCGCGUUUCGUAAUUGAAUGUGUAUGUGUGCUCGACACAAGAGCAACGAGAGGAACGAGUGGAAAGCAAAAUGGCUGUUAAGACUUCGUACAAACAAUUGAUCUUUCUCUCUCUCUCUCUCUCUCUCUCUCUCCCUCUCUCUUUUUCUCACUAUCUCUAUUUCUAGAUCACUGUCGUUAUCACUAUAUCUCUAUCCUUCUCACAGUUCAUCACUCGCAGAAUGCACGGUGUUCACGAUUUACGAUGAAUUGAUGACUGCUUCCAACUCUGGAUAAAAUCGAAUGUGGAUUUCGAUUCGAUGAGAGCCGUGAAGUGAGAACUCUAGCUGCACAUUUCUACCGAUCUAAGUUUCUUACGGUUUUCUCAGUGAAAAGGGUAGAAGUAGAAGAAAAAAAAAAGAGAAAGAAGAGAGAAAGAGAGAAGGAAAGAGAAAUAAGGUGAACCGCGUUAUUAGUUUCUCGAACGCUGCUGAUACCGAUUUUCUACGUACACAAAGCUGAAAGAGUACUAUAUCGAUAGGAAGAGAAGAAUAAAAGUUAAGAAGAGAUAGAAUGAAAGAAA